rnacentral:rRNA from 1 species
GGUUAAGCGAAUAAGCGUACACGGUGGAUGCCUAGGCAAUCAGAGGCGAUGAAGGACGUGCUAAUCUGCGAAAAGCGUCGGUAAGGUGAUAUGAACCGUUAUACCCGACGAUAUCCGAAUGGGGAAACCCAGUAUCCAAUGGAUACUAUCAUUAACUGAAUCCAUAGGUUAAUGAGGCGAACCGGGAGAACUGAAACAUCUCAGUACCCCGAGGAAAAGAAAUCAACCG